AGAAUUUGCCCUCAAAAUUGGCUGGUGGUUUCCAUACGAAGUUUACGACACUCUUCGGAUAGUUGAUAACGUGUGUUGCAGCAUUCUGUAAAUCAGAGACUUGGAUCUAACAAAAAUGUUUUGGACCGAGAACCGUACCGUCCGUACGUACCAAAUGGCCCCACGAAAAGGGAAGCCAACAAUGGCAGUUGUCCCGGAAACGUGAAUCGCAUGCAUUUCUCCGUCGUAAAUUUCCACGAACCUAUCAAUAUUUCCCAAUCGGUCUGAUACUGGAAACUUUCGACGAGAAAGUUAGACGGUUUGUUUUGUUAGGUUAGUCUUUUUUCAUUUUUUCGAGCCCUGACUCCCUGAGCAGCAUUUUAAAUGGUAUAGCAGACGUCAUCCUGUUGACAUUACGUAAUAGAAAAUUUGGCACCGUUAUUCCGCUGUCGUUGCUAAGUCUGUCACCGUCCGAACCAUCUGCUGAAUAAAUUUCAAUAAUGUUAAUUAUUUACUAGUUUUUAUUUUAUCAAGGAAACCGGCAAUCUUUUCAUCAUACACAGAACACAGGCAAAAUGUAGGUCGAAUUUCCGUUGUUUCGAAAUAGAAAAUAAAAAUCUUUGACUCAUAAGCUAGUAAUAUCGAAUAGACGAAAGUUACCUUAUUUACACAAAUUUAGUUUUCUAGCGCUUCUUCAGUAAACAUUUUACAUUUUCAGAGCAGACGAUGAGACCCAAACCGGCUGUCAUGAGCAGGCCAAGCCCCGAGGGUUUUUUCUUUGUCAUGUUUAUCGAUAUUUGACGCCGCAAAAUAAGUUUUAACAAAAUAAAAACGCGUCAAGUGCAAAUUAUCAAAUUUAAACAAAUGAGCUGUAUGCAGAAACUGUACUUGCAAUAGUGUAUCUAACUUUUAAUAAAAAAUAUUGCAACGAGGAUUGUUUUUAACUGUAUUGUACAGAUCACGUAUUGCCAGCGCACUUUCAAAACAGGGAAUGUACAUAUUCCGGCUGUCUUGCAUCGAAAAAGUACUCUGGUUUCUAAUCAACACCCGGAUAAAUCUUUCGCCUUUUACUAAAGAUUUCCGUGGUUAGGAGCAAUCGAUGAGUCUAUAUGACUAAUUUUUCGAACGCUCGGUCGUAAGACUGG